rnacentral:rRNA from 1 species
UACGUAGGCAGCAAGCGUUGUUCGGAGUUACUGGGCGUAAAGAGUGCGUAGGCGGUCCUGUAAGUUUGGUGUGAAAUCUCCCGGCUCAACUGGGAGGGUGCGCCGAAGACUGCAGGGCUUGAGUAUGGGAGAGGUAAGCGGAAUUCCUGGUGUAGCGGUGAAAUGCGUAGAUAUCAGGAGGAACACCUGUGGUGUAGACAGCUUACUGGACCACUUCUGACGCUGAGACACGAAAGCGUGGGUAGCAAACAGG